UAAAAUCAAAUCAAAGGAACUUGUUUUUUAAUCGAUAAUACCCGAUAAAUUUUACUCUUUUUAAAAGCUUAUAUACCGCCGUUUAAACAUUUCUCAAAUAAUUUUUUACAAUCAUAUUAAAAAUUUCAGGUCAAGGUGUAGCCUAUAAUUCAGAUAAAAUAAGUUACUAUAAAAGUUAUUUAUGGAAAUAAAAUAAACUUAAAUAAAACAGGAUUUAAACUCAAUAAUUUAAUAAUAACAAAUUAUGAACAUCAUUUGAAC
rnacentral:rRNA from 1 species